CAAAUUGAGAGUUUGAUCCUGGCUCAGGAUGAACGCUGGCGGCGUGCCUAAUACAUGCAAGUCGAACGCUUUGUGGUUCAACUGAUYUGAAGAGCUUGCUCAGAUAUGACGAUGGACAUUGCAAAGAGUGGCGAACGGGUGAGUAACACGUGGGAAACCUACCUCUUAGCAGGGGAUAACAUUUGGAAACAGAUGCUAAUACCGUAUAACAAUAGCAACCGCAUGGU
rnacentral:rRNA from 1 species